UACGUAGGGGGCAAGCGUUGUCCGGAUUUAUUGGGCGUAAAGAGCGUGUAGGCGGCCUGACAGGUCUGCUGUGAAAACUCGAGGCUCAACCUCGAGAUGUCGGCGGAAACCGUCUGGCUAGAGUCCGGAAGAGGAGAGUGGAAUUCCUGGUGUAAGCGGUGAAAUGCGCAGAUAUCAGGAAGAACACCUAUGGCGAAGGCAGCUCUCUGGGACGGUACUGACGCUGAGACGCGAAAGCGUGGGGAGCGAAACAGG
rnacentral:rRNA from 1 species